AGUGAAAGAUCAUGGUAACCCUAAGUAGUUUUUUAUUUAUCAAAGAACAAUCUACUUCUAGGCCAUCACUUUUUAAUGGAACAAACUAUUCUUUUUGAAAAAUUAAAAUAAAAAUUUUAUACAAACUCUAGAUUAUGAUAUGUAGGCAGUCAUAACUAGAGGACUACACACCCACUAUUGAAGUAAAUGGAGUAUCUCAUCUCAAACUAGAAAAGGAUUGGAAUGAGAAUGAUAAAUGCAAAAGCCAUCAAUAUACUUUAUUGUUCCUUAAAUAUACAUAAAUUUAAUAGAAUAUCAACUUGCACAUUAGUUAAAGAGAUUUGGGAU
rnacentral:lncRNA from 1 species